GAUGAAGAACGUAGCGAAAUGCGAUAAGUAGUGUGAAUUGCAGAAUUCCGUGAAUCAUCGAAUCUUUGAACGCACAUUGCGCCUUCUGGUAUUCCGGAAGGCAUGCCUGUUCGAGAGUCAUUAACAACCGUUUCGAUCCCUUUCUUUCAGAAAUUACAAAGAGGAAAAGGGUUUGGUUAUGGUGGAGGAGGGAAAGGGAGCGUUUAGCCUGUAAAAAAAGAGGCUGUGUUCCGCCUCCCCCCCAAAAUUGUACAGGCGGUCGUGUGCGCCCACGCAUCGAGGUGUUGUAAAAGCUGCCUCGGCACUUUUCACCUGUGCAGAGCGAGAAUGGCCAGCCGGUUUAAAAACCCCUCCAAACAAUCAAAGGUUGACCUCGGAUCAGGUAGGGAUACCCGCUGAACUUAAGCAUAUCGAUAAGCGGAGGA
rnacentral:misc_RNA from 1 species